GGAUCCCAUCAGAACUCCGAAGUUAAGCGUGCUUGGGCGAGAGUAGUACUAGGAUGGGUGACCUCCUGGGAAGUCCUCGUGUUGCAUCCCUCUUUUUAUUUUUUUUGCGGCAACCGACGACGCAAGAGGCAGGGUCGGGACGAUACUAUUGUUGCGUGGCACCGUGCAUGUCAAUCGGUGACGGUAAAAACGUUAGCGUGGCGGUAAACUCGCAUUUUGGUAAGAUGAGAACGAGGCGGAGCGGGAAGCAUAAGGUAAAAAAUCGUGCAUACCAUGUCGGAUGCGAUCAUACCAGCACUAAAGCACC
rnacentral:rRNA from 1 species